rnacentral:rRNA from 1 species
UACGUAGGGGGCAAGCGUUGUCCGGAUUUAUUGGGCGUAAAGAGCGUGUAGGCGGCCAGGUAGGUCCGUUGUGAAAACUCGAGGCUCAGCCUCGAGCUGUCGAUGGAAACCAUCUGGCUAGAGUCCGGAAGAGGAGAGUGGAAUUCCCGGUGUAGCGGUGAAAUGCGCAGAUAUCAGGAAGAACACCUAUGGCGAAGGCAGCUCUCUGGGACGGUACUGACGCUGAGACGCGAAAGCGUGGGGAGCGAACAGG